rnacentral:rRNA from 1 species
GACGAACGCUGGCGGCGUGGACUAGGCAUGCAAGUCGAACGCGAAAGAGGGGGAAACCCUCGAGUAGAGUGGCGAACGGGUGAGUAACGCGUGAAGAACCUGCCUUCAACAGGGGGAUAACACUCCCAACGGGGUGCUAAUACCGCAUGAGACCACGGGUCUGCAUGGACCUGAGGUCAAAGGUGGCCUCUGCUUGCAAGCUACCGGUUGAAGAUGGCUUCGCGUCCCAUAGCUAGUUGGCGGUGUAACGGACCACCAAGGCGACGAUGGGUAGCUGGUCUGAGAGGAUGGGUCAGCCACACUGGGGACUGAGAUACCGGCCCAGACUCCGUACGGGAGGCAGCAGUCGAGAGGCCUCGGCAAAGU